AACCUGAGAAUUUGAUGAUAGAG
rnacentral:siRNA from 1 species